ACCCAGGAGCGGCCAGGCCAGUUGUGUCUCUCAUCCCAGUUCAACUAUGGGGGCGCAGGGCGCUUCGGUUCCUCCCUCAGGCGGUGCAAGAUCUCUAUUUGUCCGACCCUCCGAAGACCCGCUGCUCUUCAUCUCCCCAGGAGCCCCCUCCCUUGGACAGCCGCUUUUCUCACGAGGGUCCCCAAGCCCCUCCGAGCGUUUCCUCAGACGCCCCUACUUGGAGCAAGUCUGCUCCCUGUCACCCGGGACCCCAGCUACCCUCGGCCUUCCUACCUCCCUCGGACUGGGGCCACUCCCAGUUCCCCUGCCCCCCACCCCGCUCUCUCCACACGGGCCGCGGCCGGGCUUCCCGGGUUCCCCUUCUCCCUGACACCCAAGCCGUCCUGGGUAUUCCCGACACACCCCGCCCUCGGAGCAGGUCGUUACAGGUCACCCCCUUCUCUGGGACCCUGGCUGCUUCCGUUUCCUCAGAUAACCUACUCCCCACACACUGGCCGCCGGUCAGCGCCCCAGACCGGAGCAACUGGACGUCCCAAGGGACCUCCUGCCCUGACCCGCGUGGGUCCGGCCCUAGCCUACCUUCCUCGGGAGAACUCCGCAGCCAGAAGCCCAGCCAUUCUCCCCGUAGCCCAGUCAGCGCGAACUCGCCGCCACCCCCGCCGCCUCCGCCCUGGUCCCGGCCCCGGCCCCGGCCCAGACCCGAAGUCCAGGCCCCCUUCCUCCGACCUCCGCCUGCGGAGUGCUGAGCUGGAGAUUCCGCCCCGCGACGGCCACCAGAUCUCUUACCCGCGUUACCGGCACUCACCUGCCGCUGCCCCCGACCAACUCAAGCGCCACUGCCUCUACCUCGGCCGCCAGUGGCCACCAAGCGCCACCACCUCCCCCAUGACAACAGGCCCACCCUCUUUCAUACUUCUAACCUAUCCAUUGGAUAAUGGGGCGGCAGCUCUCCUCUCUGAUUGGCUUAAUUUACCCGCCCGUCAUCGCUCUUUACCGCCCCUUUUCCUAAACCCGGUAUUCGCCCCCGCCCGGACCUGGCGCGUCCUAGCCCAAGCUUUAGUUGUAGUUGGUUGA
rnacentral:lncRNA from 1 species